CACGUAGGGUGCGAGCGUUGUCCGGAAUUAUUGGGCGUAAAGAGCUCGUAGGUGGUUCGGUAAGUCGGGUGUGAAAACCCCAGGCUCAACCUGGGGACGCCACCCGAUACUGCUAUAGCUAGAGUCCAGUAGGGGAGUGUGGAAUUCCCAGUGUAGCGGUGAAAUGCGCAGAUAUUGGGAGGAACACCAGCGGCGAAGGCGGCACUCUGGGCUGGUACUGACGCUGAGGAGCGAAAAGCGUGGGUAGCGAACAGG
rnacentral:rRNA from 1 species